CUGUCACUUAUAGAUGGAUCCGCGCUGCAUUAGCUAGUUGGUAAGGUAACGGCUUACCAAGGCAACGAUGCAUAGCCGACCUGAGAGGGUGAUCGGCCACACUGGAACUGAGACACGGUCCAGACUCCUACGGGAGGCAGCAGUAGGGAAUCUUCCGCAAUGGGCGAAAGCCUGACGGAGCAACGCCGCGUGAGUGAUGAAGGUCUUCGGAUCGUAAAACUCUGUUAUUAGGGAAGAACAUAUGUGUAAGUAACUGUGCACAUCUUGACGGUACCUAAUCAGAAAGCCACGGCUAACUACGUGCCAGCAGCCGCGGUAAUACGUAGGUGGCAAGCGUUAUCCGGAAUUAUUGGGCGUAAAGCGCGCGUAGGCGGUUUUUUAAGUCUGAUGUGAAAGCCCACGGCUCAACCGUGGAGGGUCAUUGGAAACUGGAAAACUUGAGUGCAGAAGAGGAAAGUGGAAUUCCAUGUGUAGCGGUGAAAUGCGCAGAGAUAUGGAGGAACACCAGUGGCGAAGGCGACUUUCUGGUCUGUAACUGACGCUGAUGUGCGAAAGCGUGGGGAUCAAACAGGAUUAGAUACCCUGGUAGUCCACGCCGUAAACGAUGAGUGCUAAGUGUUAGGGGGUUUCCGCCCCUUAGUGCUGCAGCUAACGCAUUAAGCACUCCGCCUGGGGAGUACGACCGCAAGGUUGAAACUCAAAGGAAUUGACGGGGACCCGCACAAGCGGUGGAGCAUGUGGUUUAAUUCGAAGCAACGCGAAGAACCUUACCAAAUCUUGACAUCCUUUGACAACUCUAGAGAUAGAGCCUUCCCCUUCGGGGGACAAAGUGACAGGUGGUGCAUGGUUGUCGUCAGCUCGUGUCGUGAGAUGUUGGGUUAAGUUCCGCAACGAGCGCAACCCUUAAGCUUAGUUGCCAUCAUUAAGUUGGGCACUCUAAGUUGACUGCCGGUGACAAACCGGAGGAAGGUGGGGAUGACGUCAAAUCAUCAUGCCCCUUAUGAUUUGGGCUACACACGUGCUACAAUGGACAAUACAAAGGGCAGCGAAACCGCGAGGUCAAGCAAAUCCCAUAAAGUUGUUCUCAGUUCGGAUUGUAGUCUGCAACUCGACUACAUGAAGCUGGAAUCGCUAGUAAUCGUAGAUCAGCAUGCUACGGUGAAUACGUUCCCGGGUCUUGUACACACCGCCCGUCACACCACGAGAGUUUGUAACACCCGAAGCCGGUGGAGUAACCUUUUAGGAGCUAGCCGUCGAAGGUGGGACAAAUGAUUGGGGUGAAGUCGUAACAAGGUAGCCGUAUCGGAAGGUGCGGCUGGAUCACCUCCUUUCUAAGGA
rnacentral:rRNA from 1 species